rnacentral:rRNA from 1 species
GCUUAUCACCAUUCCAGAUUGAAUAUACCCGAUCUCGUCUGAUCUCGGAAGUCAAGCAAUCUCGGUCUUGGUUAGUACUUGGAUGGGUGACCGCUUGGGAAUACCAAGUGUGAUGAGCA